UACGUAGGGCGCAAGCGUUAUCCGGAAUUAUUGGGCGUAAAGAGCUCGUAGGCGGUUUGUCGCGUCUGCCGUGAAAGUCCGGGGCUCAACUCCGGAUCUGCGGUGGGUACGGGCAGACUAGAGUGAUGUAGGGGAGACUGGAAUUCCUGGUGUAGCGGUGAAAUGCGCAGAUAUCAGGAGGAACAUCGAUGGCGAAGGCAGGUCUCUGGGCAUUAACUGACGCUGAGGAGCGAAAGCAUGGGGAGCGAACAGG
rnacentral:rRNA from 1 species